UACGUAGGGAGCAAGCGUUGUUCGGAUUUACUGGGCGUAAAGGGCGCGUAGGCGGCCUGUCAAGUCAACUGUGAAAUCUCCGGGCUUAACUCGGAACGGUCAGUUGAUACUGUCAGGCUAGAGUGCAGAAGGGGCAAUCGGAAUUCUUGGUGUAGCGGUGAAAUGCGUAGAUAUCAAGAGGAACACCUGAGGUGAAGACGGGUUGCUGGGCUGACACUGACGCUGAGGCGCGAAAGCCAGGGGAGCAAACGGGAUUAGAAACCCCCGUAGUCC
rnacentral:rRNA from 1 species